rnacentral:lncRNA from 1 species
UCAAACCCCUAAAGGCCCUUUUAAGGGCCCCCAGAACGUCAGGAAAAGAGCCAACACUUCGUAUUUGCUGUGUGAAUGUGGGACCUAGGUGCAGAUAGGAGGUGACCAAGUUCAGACGCCGAAUGAAGGAGGCAAAGCGUGGGCGAAGUCGAAGGCGGGGCCUAGCUCGCGGCCGCUGCCCUACCUGGGACGAGCUGCACAGUUUGCUGCACCGAGCGGGACAAUGAACUUGCUCAACUACCUGGAAACAGGUAACAUGUAUCGUUAGGUUCCAGCAACCUCGAAAUCUUUAACUGAAGGAGCUUGGCCAACCUUCUCAUUUCAAUUUGGAACAUUUGUGGAAUACCUAUGAAGUUCCAGAUUCAGUCCUAUCAAAAUGGAAGCCAGCCACUCAGUCCAGCACAGCAAGAUCUUUGGAUCCCAAAAAAGCAGUGGGUGGAUCUCCAGAAACUGACUUUGACAAGGGCUCCUGUAUUCAAAUAUGCUGGAAGCUCAUCCACCCGUGAUUUGGCAUCGUUCACUCUGUAG